AAUGAACAGAUAAAUAGAAUGAAAGACAAAUAGCUUUGCCUGCUAGAAAGUUCUACAGCGACUGUGAUUGACCAUGUUCUUGUCCAUGGUAUGAGCAUGAGGGAGGCCGGACAAAGGCUACAACCAAACAUCAGUAGAUUCACUGUGUCCACCAUAAUCCCAAGAUUUAGAGAAGCGAACAGAAUUGAAAGACUGCCACAUGGGGGUGGGAGGACAGGUAUGUUCUCCCCACACCAAGAGACCCUAAUUGUUGCUAUGGUCCGUGAGAACAACGCCAUUAAACUGAGUGAAAUUCAGCAGAAGAUCAUUGAGGACCAUGUCAAUUUUGAGGGUAUCAACAGUGUCAGCCUCUCUACUGUUGAUCAUGUCCUCAAGUGCAACAGACUGCGCAUGAAACAGCUGUACUGAAUGCCCUUUGAUCGCAACUCAGACAGAGUCAAAGAGCAAAGAUUCCAGUAUGUACAGAGGGUUUUUCAACUGGAUGCAAUGGAAAGACCCCAUGAAUACAUCUACAUGGAUGAAGCUGGGUGUAAUCUCACCAAAAGGAGAAGGAGAGGCCGUAAUGUGAUUGGCCAUCGGGCCAUUGUUGGUGUCCCUGGGCAGCGUGGUGGCAAUGUCACAUUAUGUGCUGCCAUCAGCAAUCGUGGGGUUGUCCACCAUCAUGCCAACCUGGGGCCCUACAACACUCACCAGCUCCUCAUUUUCCUCAAUCACAUGCGAGAUGCUCUGUUAGGGCAGCAGGAUGAGCAUCACAUCUAUGUUGUUGUUGUUUGGGACAAUGUGAGUUUUCACAGAGCCCUCCAAGUUAGAGAGUGGUUCAAUAUGAACCAAGGUUUUAUCAAUCUUUGCCUUCCACCGUACUCCCCUUUCCUAAACCCCAUUGAGGAAUUCUUCUCCUCAUGGCGGUGGAAGGUAUAUAAACGCCAACCUUACACCAGGGCAAAUCUCCUGCAAGCCAUGGAACCUGCCUGUGGUGACAUAGGUGUUGACAUAAGCCUGGAUACGGCAUGCCAGAGGUUUUUUCCCCUGUUGCCUGGCCAGACAAAAUGUGGCCUGUGAUGUGGAUGAAGUCCUGUGGCCUGACCCAGUACAGAGACAUGAUGAUGUGGCUGAGUAAUGCACUUAUUUGUAUAUUUGUGUACUUUAUUUUUACAUGGGCUUACUGUACACAAAUGGCAAAUGCAUAAGAUUUCUGUUUGUUUUUACAAGUGCUAAAUGCACAGGUUUUUUGUUUUGCAACAAACAUUUAUUUCUCCAGCUUCAUGUCCUGAGCAUUGUGUUUUCUAUUUUUCUAUGUAGUGUUUAGCGACUUUUCAGUAGUGUUUUUAAUUUUGAUUGACUUGGGACACGAUUUGACAACAUAGUUCAGUUUUGAGCACAGAUUGAACUGUUUUGAGGUGAAAGUUUGGUUUUACAAGAAGAGUCUAAGGUUUUGUGAAUGUAGCUUGAAAAUUGGGUUUUGUGUUCAGUUUAGAAAAACUGUAAUAGGUACACCAUUUCCAGUGCAUAACAUGUUGGAGGGAUUAUUGGCAAACAAAAUUUGGAAAUAAUAAAAAUAGUUGUAAUUCAACCUUUAUUUACAGAUUUUAAUGACUUCUGUGUCAGAUUUUAAACAGUUUUGAAAAGUCCCGACACAACGUAGUCUGUCGCGUCUCCAUCGAUGAGGCCAGUUCCGUUAUUGUGAACGAACCAGCAGGGAACAUUUUCCCCAUUCUUCAUGUCCCUCCUGAAGUCUCUCUGCCAGCCUCUGUGGACCGAGGAGUGAGACCUUAUUCAUUCUGGACACACACAUUUAUCUAAUGCAGUAUUUCCCAAACUGUCCACGUGAGGAGCCACUUUUUAAAGAUGGCAAACCAUUCCAAAUCAAAACAUACUGUAAGUCUAAUAUCAUUUUAAUCAACACCAUCUGCAUUAAAACUUCAUUUCUGCAUGUUAUUUAAUAAUUAAGUGAGAUUAAAGUCCUACCUGGUCACAUUGAGCUGCUGUCCCUUCACAAACAUGGUGGCGUCCGGUUUCUCUGGGACUUCACCUGGACGCAGCUCAGACACCUCAUAUUCAAUCCCAUGGUAGAACUGACCUGUAGGACGCAACAUUUACAGGAAAUAUUAUUAUUUUUAAAUAUGAUCAUUGUGACUCUACAACUCUCCACCUUUCGAGCACAAGUAAAUGACAAUAUUCUCUCGCUGUAAGCGUUUAAAGGGAAACUACAUGUGUAACAUUUGGUAGGGUGUAUUGGCAGAAAUUGAAUCUACUACCCUUCUUUAAAAAAUACUGUAGACAAGGUUCUUGCUUUAUUGAGGCCACCAUCUUGCACCGCCAUGUUUCUAAAGUCGCCCAAACAGACAAACCAGCCAGAGUGUGCUUUAGUAUUUAAAGCAGAAACUUGCUACCCUAACAAAGGUUUAACAUCUUUUUUAGGCUAAGGCCACAGGAGUUUACUGACGUGCUUGGGAAAGGGACGUCAGGAUACUCAGGAUAUCUCUUGAGCAGCUAUAAUCCUAAAACCAUGUGAUCUACUUCCGGCUAAGUGUGUCAUGUUUGUACCCAGCAGGCCGUGAACAGCAGGGGAGAGGAGAUGACUGUCCAAGGUGUAGAAACCUAAAUAGUCCCGAUGGUACGGAUGCUUCUCCCACACUUUGUGUAGCAGGAUGACAAACUUGACUGAAUCUUUCAGAGUCACCAUCAGGCUGCGGUCCUUGGUCACAAGAAGAUCCACACUGUGGGAGGAGGAGGAGGAGAUUAUUCUCAACUGGACUUGACGUUUCACUUUAUUCAUGUUAAAGGAAAUGUUUCUCUCACUAAGAGAGAAAGAAAACCGUGUGAUGGUGCAGCCGCUCACUUGAGUCCUUUGAGAGAGGCCGAGUCCGACCACAGCAGUUUGACCCAUUUGCUGUCCUGGAACACUGAGAUGUCACGAGUGUUCACCUCCAGCCUCACCCCCAGAGUCUGGUGGACGAUGCCAAAGCGCCAGAAAUACGUGUUCAUUUUACCAUCAGGAGGGAUUUUCUUGUCUCCAAUUAUCUGGCCAUUGACCAAAAUACCUGAGGGAAACAACAUGUUCAGUCAGUCACUGUUAAUAAGUAGCACAUACAUGUACAAACAUUGGUCAGUAAGAAGUAGACCAGGUUGUACUAACUGUUAACAAAGUCUUGAUGAUGAUCAGGACUCAGGACUGACCUGAUUGUGGGUCUGUAACCAGAGAGAAAAUGGUUCCUGGUCUGUCGUUAAUGUUGAAGCACAGAGCGUCUUCUUUCUCUGGCAGCUCUAUCAUGAAAUGAGGAUCUCCAUCCAC